rnacentral:rRNA from 1 species
CCUAUAAUCGUUUUAAUCGAUGGGGGGACGCAGUAGGAUAGGCGAAGCGUGCGAUUGGAUUGCACGUCUAAGCAGUAAGGCUGAGUAUUAGGCAAAUCCGGUACUCGUUAAGGCUGAGCUGUGAUGGGGAGAAGACAUUGUGUCUUCGAGUCGUUGAUUUCACACUGCCGAGAAAAGCCUCUAGAUAGAAAAUAGGUGCCCGUACCGCAAACCGACACAGGUAGUCAAGAUGAGAAUUCUAAGGUGAGCGAGCGAACUCUCGUUAAGGAACUCGGCAAAAUGACCCCGUAACUUCGGGAGAAGGGGUGCUCUUUAGGGUUAACGCCCAGAAGAGCCGCAGUGAAUAGGCCCAAGCGACUGUUUAUCAAAAACACAGGUCUCUGCUAAACCGUAAGGUGAUGUAUAGGGGCUGACGCCUGCCCGGUGCUGGAAGGUUAAGAGGAGUGGUUAGC